rnacentral:sRNA from 1 species
CGACGAUUGAAGAGUAAACUUACACACAAAAAAGAACACGGUCAACGCUACACGAGUCUAUAAUGAUGGUCAUUUACCACUUGGUUCUAUCAUCUUCUUCCACCGGAUCCUCCCCUUGUAGCAGCGUCCUUCGAUCGCCUAAAUUUUACUGAUAAAGGAGAACGAGGAGACUUAUUCUGUCUAUCUGUACUUCCGCCGCUGGUAGCGUGUCGUCGAGGUGGUGGCGGGAUAGGAGCUAAAACGAAUGGACGGUGACGGAUAGGUCCGUUAGGCGGUGAAUGACGGGAAGGGGGAUGGGGAUGGGCAUGUUGAGAGUGACAGACCCCCUAUGCGAUUGGAGAAGAUGAGCUUUUGCGUGUUUGGGGAAGUGAAGCAGUUCGAAGGGUUGGAGGCUUACCAUGGUCUGCAAAGAAUUUUGGAAUAAAGACUGUUGCAAGGGUGUUACGAAGGAGUAACUAAUGCGAGUUUUUGGUGGAUAGAUAUAUCAAUGGAUGGCGUUGCUCUCUGCUGUCCCGUAUAGGCUAAGAUCGAUGCUGAGAAUGUUCUUAUUAUAUCAAUGGUGCCAAAGAGGUAUAAAGUACGGUCGUGUAUUUUCCUUUAAAUUGCUCGUUCCCAGGGUUAUAUAUAUGCAUGCAUUUCGG